rnacentral:rRNA from 1 species
GGGGCAGCGAGGAUUAGCAAUAAUUUGUCGGCGACCGGCGCACGGGUGAGUAACACGUAUGCAACCUACCUUCAACACGGGGAUAACCCGUUGAAAGACGGACUAAUAUCCGAUAAUACAGGGGCACCGCUUGGUGAUAUUUGUUAAAGAUUAAUCGGUUGAAGAUGGGCAUGCGUAUGAUUAGCUAGUUGGCGGGGUAACGGCCCACCAAGGCAACGAUCAUUAGGGGUUCUGAGAGGAAGGUCCCCCACACUGGUACUGAGACACGGACCAGACUCCUACGGGAGGCAGCAGUGAGGAAUAUUGGUCAAUGGGCGCGAGCCUGAACCAGCCAAGUCGCGUGAAGGAUGACGGUCCUAUGGAUUGUAAACUUCUUUUGUGCAGGAAUAAAGUGAGGAACGUGUUCCUUUUUGUAUGUACUGUACGAAUAAGCAUCGGCUAACU